AACGAACGCUGGCGGCAGGCCUAACACAUGCAAGUCGAGCGCCCUUUCGGGGGAGCGGCGGACGGGUGAGUAACGCGUGGGAAUAUGCCCUUCUCUACGGAAUAGCCUCGGGAAACUGAGAGUAAUACCGUAUACGCCCUUAGGGGGAAAGAUUUAUCGGGGAAGGAUUAGCCCGCGUUGGAUUAGGUAGUUGGUGGGGUAAUGGCCUACCAAGCCGACGAUCCAUAGCUGGUUUGAGAGGAUGAUCAGCCACACUGGGACUGAGACACGGCCCAGACUCCUACGGGAGGCAGCAGUGGGGAAUCUUAGACAAUGGGGGCAACCCUGAUCUAGCCAUGCCGCGUGAGUUAUGAAGGCCUUAGGGUUGUAAAGCUCUUUCAGCUGGGAAGAUAAUGACGGUACCAGCAGAAGAAGCCCCGGCUAACUCCGUGCCAGCCGCCGCCGUAA
rnacentral:rRNA from 1 species